GGGCGUAAGAGCUCGUAGGUGGUUCGUCACGUCGGAUGUGAAACUCUGGGGCUUAACCCCAGACCUGCAUUCGAUACGGGCGAGCUUGAGUAUGGUAGGGGAGUCUGGAAUUCCUGGUGUAGCGGUGGAAUGCGCAGAUAUCAGGAGGAACACCAAUGGCGAAGGCAGGACUCUGGGCCAUUACUGACACUGAGGAGCGAAAGCGUGGGGAGCGAGCAGGAUUAGAUACCCUGGUAGUCCACGCCGUAAACGGUGGGCACUAGUUGUGGGGACCUUCCACGGUCUCUGCGACGCAGCUAACGCAUUAAGUGCCCCGCCUGGGGAGUACGAUCGCAAGAUUAAAACUCAAAGGAAUUGACGGGGCCCCGCACAAGCAGCGGAGCAUGCGGCUUAAUUCGACGCAACGCGAAGAACCUUACCAAGGCUUGACAUAUACAGGAAUAUGGCAGAGAUGUCAUAGCCGCAAGGUCUGUAUACAGGUGGUGCAUGGUUGUCGUCAGCUCGUGUCGUGAGAUGUUGGGUUAAGUCCCGCAACGAGCGCAACCCUCGUUCUGUGUUGCCAGCAUUUAGUUGGGGACUCACAGGAGACUGCCGGGGUUAACUCGGAGGAAGGUGGGGAUGACGUCAAAUCAUCAUGCCCCCUUAUGUCUUGGGCUGCACGCAUGCUACAAUGGCUGGUACAAACGGCUGCAAUACCGCAAGGUGGAGCGAAUCCGAGAAAGCCAGUCUCAGUUCGGAU
rnacentral:rRNA from 1 species